CAGCCGUAAACUAUGCGCGUUAGGUGUACUGGUGGCCACGAGUCACCGGGGUGCCGAAGGGAAACCGUGAAACGUGCCGCCUGGGAAGUACGAUCGCAAGAUUGAAACUUAAAGGAAUUGGCGGGGGAGCACCACAAGGGGUGAAGCUUGCGGUUUAAUUGGAGUCAACGCCGGAAAUCUCACCGGGAGCGACAGCAGUGUGAUAGCCAGAUUAAAGGUCUUGCUAGACGAGCUGAGAGGAGGUGCAUGGCGUAGUCGUGU
rnacentral:rRNA from 1 species